rnacentral:rRNA from 1 species
AGUGAACGCUGGCGGUAGGCCUAACACAUGCAAGUCGAACGGCAGCACAGUAAGAGCUUGCUCUUACGGGUGGCGAGUGGCGUACGUGUGAGGAAUACAUCGGAAUCUACUUUUUCGUGGGGGAUAACGUAGGGAAACUUACUCUAAUACCGCAUACGACCUACGGGUGAAAGCAGGGGAUCUUCGGACCUUGCGCGAUUGAAUGAGCCGAUGUCGGAUUAGCUAGUUGGCGGGGUAAAGGCCCACCAAGGCGACGAUCCGUAGCUGGUCUGAGAGGAGGAUAGGCCACAUGGGAACUGGAACAGGGUCCAGACGCCUGAGGGAGGCAGCAGUGGGGAAUAUUGGACAAUGGGCGCAAGCAUGAUCCAGCCAUACCGCGUGGGUGAAGAAGGCCUUCGGGUUGUAAAGCCCUUUUGUUGGGAAAGAAAAGCAGCAGGUUAAUACCACGCUGUUCUGACGGUACCCAAAGAAUAAGCACCGGCUAACUUCGUG